CACAACUGAGUGACUGAACAACAACAAAGUCAGAGUCCAGGUCUCAUCCACCUGCUUUCUCCUGAGGGUGAUCUAUGCUGCAUUUCUGUGUGUAAACUGGAGUUCUGAAAUUGGAGGAGUUCUCCGUCACCAGCCACCGGUGUGUCUCACAAGAUCUUCCCCCGUCCACAGAGAAGGUUCUGCAGAAUACACCUUGGAAUCAGUCGCUGGCUCCUAGGAUAUACACGCGCUGAAUUUUUCUGGAAACUGCCAGAGAGUUUUCCAAAGUGGAUCUAGUAUGUUCAGAUUCCCCGUGUGAGAGAUCUGUUUUCCACUCUCACCAGCACUUUGUACCGAGGACUGCUUGCUUUAUUCUAGCUGCACCGGUGGGCCUGUAAUGCUGCGAUUCAUGGGGUCGCAAAGAGUCGGACAUGACUGAGCGACUGAACUGA